rnacentral:rRNA from 1 species
GAUGAACGCUGGCGGCGUGCUUAACACAUGCAAGUCGAACGAUGAAGCCCAGCUUGCUGGGUGGUUUAGUGGCGAACGGGUGAGUAACACGUGAGUAACCUGCCCUUAACUCUGGGAUAAGCCUGGGCAACUGGGUCUAAUACCGGAUAGGAGCGCCUACCGCAUGGUGGGUGUUGGAAAGAUUUAUCGGUUUUGGAUGGACUCGCGGCCUAUCAGCUUGUUGGUGAGGUAAUGGCUCACCAAGGCGACGACGGGUAGCCGGCCUGUGAGGGUGACCGGCGACACUGGGACUGAGACACGGACCAGACUCCUACGGGAGGCAGCAGUGGGGAAUAUUGCACAAUGGGCGCAAGCCUGAUGCAGCGACGCCGCGUGAGGGAUGACGGCCUUCGGGUUGUAAACCUCUUUCAGUAGGGAAGAAGCGAAAGUGACGGUACCUGCAGAAGAAGCACCGGCUAACUACGUG